GAGCGAUUUUUCUGGUUAAUUCCGUUAAAGAACGCGACCACAGCCUACUAAAUAGUACUUGUUAUGGUAACAUAGUAUGAGACUUCUUAGAGUGACAUUUCGGGUUUACCGAAAGGAAGUUUGUGACAAUAACAGGUCUGUGAUGCCCUUAGAUGUUCUGGGCCGCACGCGCGCUACACUGACGACUUCAACAAGUUUUUUUCUUUGAAAAAGUCCUUGGCUGGAAAGUCUGGGUAAUCUUUUAAACGGUCGUCGUGAUGGGGCUAGAUUCUUGCAAUUAUUAAUCUCCAACGAGGAACC
rnacentral:rRNA from 1 species